AAAAAAAUUAAAGCCCGAUCCCAAAAGUUAGACAGAAAACCCUAAGCUCUCGCGCGGCCUCCAUCUCACUCGAACUCGCCUUCAUUCUGAACUCACCCCAAACUGGAUCUCCUCCCAAACCCGACCUCCAUCUCCUCCCUUCCUUCCUUCAUCUACGUCCUCAGCUUCUUCGGCAUCAACUCCGUCCAGUCCGGCAUCGACUCUGUCCAGUCCGUCCUCAGCUUGUUCGUCGAAGCAUUUCUAAACAGUGCCGUUCCGUCUUAGCCUCUGGAAUCAAAGCAAGAGAGCGGCGGCCAGUCGGCGCGACUCACUUCAGAGAACGACUCUGUUGUGGGAUUCGAAGGAUUUGCCUGUUGAAGGAUUCUAGGAGUCGCCGGUCGGAGACGAAGUAAUCUUACUUGUGAGCGAUUGCAUUUGGGGAGUUGAGCGACUAUUCAGAGUUGUGAUCGACAAGCAGGUCAUUUACUCGAGCCCCUCUUUUAUUUUUUGCUCUUCCAUGUUUUCAUUUGUGAAGUUUGUUUGAUUUUGGGCGAAAACAUAGAGGACCUACAUCGAUUUCCUGGCUUGAAGCCGUUGCAGCCUUAAACCGCUAAGUCGGGGUUUUAAGGCAAAAGAAAUCCAACCUUGUCCAGAGGUUAGAGACGGCGGGACUGUGGCAGGAGACGAAGGGCUGCUCUGAAAUUUCCGAUUCCUCGAAAUGAGAUGGAGCAAUAAGCAAUGUCAAGCAUUCCCCAAAUUGCAGAUAACCGAAAUAGCUUUCGUCUUCAAAUUUGAUCUCAAUCAGUAGAGAGUUAGGGAUUUGAUUUUCCAAUUUUGGGCGCGAAAAGGUGGACCAGAAAGAGAAGAUAAGGUCUCUUUGGAGCUGACAGAGGAGAUUAAUUGAAAGCAUGGAAGUUGGGCUGGCUUUCAGGGACUACGUUACUUGAUAGAAAAGAUUGAAUUUGAAAAUCUACUUCACAAAGCUUCAGUGUCUUUUUGUGCAACUCGAGUUGCUUCUUCAGGCCAUAUGGUGGGUAUUCGUAUCUCUUGGAGCCUCUGUGCUGGUUGGGAUUGAUUACAAGUAAGUUUCUUCUUAUCAAGUUUUAUUUUGCCAUUUUUGGACUAAGUUAUGAUCUUGUUUGGCCAACAUUGUGAUCUGUUUUGGGUGUUGCAUUGUUAUUGAGAUGGGCACUUGCUGUUUGAGUUCCAUUUUAAAUUAUUACUCGGAUAAUAUAGUAUGCAACUAUGCAUACACCUAGUGGUGUUGUUUUGAUAAAGAUGAAUGUGCUCCUCUAUGCUCCACCUCUUCUACCCCUCAUGUUAAAGUUUUGUAGCCUUGAGUUACGUCUUCUUAAUUUUUCACAUUUACAGACUAAUCAACUCUUGUAACGAACAAGCAGUAUGUGUUUUAUUCCAACAUUGGUAGAGCAGGACAUAAGUUAGAAGCUGCUAUUUAUCGAUAUUACUGGCAAAGUAGCUCUUGAUUCAUGCUGGUCAACUGGUGGAUUUACCGACUGUUUACUUCAGUAUGGUGCAUUGUUUGUUUAUGGAGUUGAUAUUGGAUAUGGCCAGGUUGCAGAUGAACUUGUAGCAGAGUUUUCUGACCCUAUCAAUGGUGUCACAUCCCCUGAUCAAAUUGACGAGGUGCGCAUUGAAUAAGUGGUUGAUUAUAUACAGAGUUUGAUGUAGGAAUGUGACUGCCAAGAUGUUUUUUGAGUAAGGCUAGCUAGUUUUGGCUUUGAAGCAAAGCUUGGUGUGGAACUUUUGUACAUUGUUGCUCGUAUGUUUCCAAGCUAGCUUUUGUAAGUUUAGGGGUUUAUUUUGUGAAUUAUGUUGAAUCAUGAAUUUGGAAAGAAAAUUAAUGGGAAAGCCCCUUAUUUUGGAUGAUGAGAAAUGCAAUUUUUUUCCCAGCAA